UACGUAGGGUGCGAGCGUUAAUCGGAAUUACUGGGCGUAAAGCGUGCGCAGGCGGUUCGUUGUGUCGGCGGUGAAAGCCCCGGGCUCAACCUGGGAAUGGCCGUUGAAACUGGCGAACUGGAGUGUGGCAGAGGGGGGUGGAAUUCCGCGUGUAGCAGUGAAAUGCGCAGAUAUGCGGAGGAACACCGAUGGCGAAGGCGGGUCUCUGGGCCGAUACUGACGCUGAGGAGCGAAAGCGUGGGGAGCGAACAGG
rnacentral:rRNA from 1 species